GACGAACGCUGGCGGCGUGCUUAACACAUGCAAGUCGAACGGAAAGGCCCUGCUUUUGUGGGGUGCUCGAGUGGCGAACGGGUGAGUAACACGUGAGUAACCUGCCCUUGACUUUGGGAUAACUUCAGGAAACUGGGGCUAAUACCGGAUAGGAGCUCCUGCUGCAUGGUGGGGGUUGGAAAGUUUCGGCGGUUGGGGAUGGACUCGCGGCUUAUCAGCUUGUUGGUGGGGUAGUGGCUUACCAAGGCUUUGACGGGUAGCCGGCCUGAGAGGGUAACCGGCCACAUUGGGACUGAGAUACGGCCCAGACCCCUACGGGAGGCAGCAGUGGGGAAUAUUGCACAAUGGGCGGAAGCCUGAUGCAGCAACGCCGCGUGCGGGAUGACGGCCUUCGGGUUGUAAACCGCUUUCGCCUGUGACGAAGCGUGAGUGACGGUAAUGGGUAAAGAAGCACCGGCUAACUACGUG
rnacentral:rRNA from 1 species